rnacentral:rRNA from 1 species
UACAGAGGUGGCAAGCGUUGUUCGGAAUUACUGGGCGUAAAGGGCCAGUAGGCGGCCAACUAAGUCGGACGUGAAAUCCCCCAGGCUCAACCUGGGAACUGCGUCUGAUACUGGAUGGCUUGAAUCCGGGAGAGGGAUGCAGAAUUCCAGGUGUAGCGGUGAAAUGCGUAGAUAUCUGGAGGAAUACCGGUGGCGAAGGCGGCAUCCUGGACCGGCAUUGACGCUGAGGAGCGAAAGCCAGGGGAGCAAAGCGGG